UAGAGUUUGAUCCUGGCUCAGAACGAACGCUGGCGGCAGGCCUAACACAUGCAAGUCGAGCGCGCCUUUCGGGGUGAGCGGCGGACGGGUUAGUAACGCGUGGGAAUAUGCCCAAAGGUACGGAAUAGCCUCUGGAAACGGAGAGUAAUACCGUAUGUGCCCUUCGGGGGAAAGAUUUAUCGCCUUUGGAUUAGCCCGCGUUAGAUUAGGUAGUUGGUGGGGUAAUGGCCUACCAAGCCUACGAUCUAUAGCUGGUUUUAGAGGAUGAUCAGCAACACUGGGACUGAGACACGGCCCAGACUCCUACGGGAGGCAGCAGUGGGGAAUCUUGGACAAUGGGGGCAACCCUGAUCCAGCCAUGCCGCGUGAGUGAUGAAGGCCUUAGGGUCGUAAAGGCUCCUUUUCGCCCCUGUGAAGAUAAUGACCG
rnacentral:rRNA from 1 species